ACAUCUUCUCGGCCUUCGUGGCUAAGAUCAAGUGUAGUAUCUGUUCUUAUCAGCUUAAUCUCUGGUAGUGGGCCUCAAUGUGCCUCACAACUCAAGAUUAGACUUAUUUCUUGUGGGCGCCCUGGCACUAAGUCCCUUGCAGCUGAGCUGUAGGGCGGUCCAGGGAGCAGUGAUCAGCUUCACAUUGCACCCCUGUGAAGUUCUUCAAAUGGUCCACCCUUC
rnacentral:snRNA from 1 species